UACGUAGGGGGCAAGCGUUGUCCGGAUUUAUUGGCGUAAAGAGCGUGUAGGCGGCUUUACAGGUCCGUUGUGAAACUCGAGGCUCAACCUCGAGACGCCGGUGGAAACCGUAAAGCUAGAGUCCGGAAGAGGAGAGUGGAAUUCCUGGUGUAGCGGUGAAAUGCGCAGAUAUCGUAAGGAAGACCAGUGGCGAAGGCGGGUCUCUGGACAGUUCCUGACGCUGAGGCACGAAGGCCAGG
rnacentral:rRNA from 1 species